rnacentral:rRNA from 1 species
CGGCAACAGCUCAAAUUUGAAAUCUGACCUUUGGUCCGAGUUGUAAUUUGCAGAGGAUGUUUCUGGCGAGGUGCCUUCCGAGUUCCCUGGAACGGGACGCCAUAGAGGGUGAGAGCCCCGUACGGUUGGUCGCUAAGCCUCUGUGAAACUCCUUCGAC